rnacentral:rRNA from 1 species
AACAAACGCUGGCGGCGUGCCUAAUACAUGCAAGUCAAACGGGUAGCAAUACUAGUGGCGCACGGGUGAGGAAUACAUGGGUAAUCUGCCCUCGAGUUGGGGAUAACCAGUCGAAAGAUUGGCUAAUACCGGAUAAGACCACAAGAUCUGCGGAUCAAGGGGUUAAAGGUUUUUCGCUUGAGGAUGAGCCCAUGUGGGAUUAGCUAGUUGGUGAGGUAAUGGCUCACCUAAGGCGACGAUCCCUAACUGGUCUUAGAGGAUGAUCAGUCACACUGGAAACUGAGACACGGUCCAGACUCCUACGGGAGGCAGCAGUAGGGAAUAUUGCACAAUGGGGGAACCCUGAUGCAGCGACGCCGCGUG